UGGGGAAUAUUCGACAAUGGGCGAAAGCCUGAUCCAGCCAUGCCGCGUGUGUGAAGAAGGUCUUCGGAUUGUAAAGCACUUUAAGUUGGGAGGAAGGGCAGUAAGCGAAUACCUUGCUGUUUUGACGUUACCGACAGAAUAAGCACCGGCUAACUCUGUGCCAGCAGCCGCGGUAAUACAGAGGGUGCAAGCGUUAAUCGGAAUUACUGGGCGUAAAGCGCGCGUAGGUGGUUCGUUAAGUUGAAUGUGAAAGCCCCGGGCUCAACCUGGGAACUGCAUCCAAAACUGGCGGGCUAGAGUAGGGCAGAGGGUGGUGGAAUUUCCUGUGUAGCGGUGAAAUGCGUAGAUAUAGGAAGGAACACCAGUGGCGAAGGCGACCACCUGGGCUCAUACUGACGCUGAGGUGCGAAAGCGUGGGGAGCAAACAGG
rnacentral:rRNA from 1 species